rnacentral:lncRNA from 1 species
AGCUCCUGAUCCCGAUAGCAGCAUCAGCCAGCGCGUCUUGCUUCAGUUUUUGUAUCCACUCCAUCACCUUCCUGGGGCUCAGAAUCAGAGGACUCCCUUCCUUCUACCUCUUUAUACAUUACCCUCUUGCGGUUCUCAAUAACUGUUUCUUAGGCGAAUUGUGUCAGAAGCUGAAGCCAGAUCCUUUGACUCCUAACCUGGUAGGUUUUCUCUAUACACAUUGCCAUCCACCUCUCCUUCCCCAUGUUGUCUGCUUGUAGAUCAUUCUUUUCUUCUCUCUCAUCUCAGCUUUUUCUCUCUCUUCUUUCCUGGCUCAACCAUCCUCCCCUGCUCUCCCCUGACCCCUGAUUCAUUUACUCCUGUCUUUUUCUCUGCCGUUCCCUAGGUACGGGGCCCAUACUCCCUGACGAUGCUAAUAUCUGAGAAUGUAGCUGUGUACCUCUCCAAGGAGUUAUGGCAACAAUAGAUCGCUAUUUAAAGAGAAUUCUACAGGGAUGUUAUGCAGGAGAAUUAGUAAAACCUGCUGUGUUUGGACUUCAUCACUCAGAUGGAGAAAGGCAAAAGAACAUGGAAUUGGGAAGGUGUCAAAAAAACAAACGAUCCCAAGGGACUCCCCAGCUGGAACAGAACUUGGGAGACCAGGUGAGUCCUAGUAAAUCCCUGAGUAUUCCUUUGUGGGUCUUGCCUCCACCUGCUGUCAUACAUGAU